rnacentral:tRNA from 1 species
CUGGGGUUAUGGCUCUGUGGUAGAGUGCUUGCCUAGCAAGUAUGAGGCACUGGGUUUGAUCCUCAGCACCACAGA